rnacentral:rRNA from 1 species
UGGGGAAUUUUGCGCAAUGGGGGAAACCCUGACGCAGCAACGCCGCGUGGAGGAUGAAAUAUCUUGGUAUGUAAACUCCUUUCGAUGGGGAAGAUUAUGACGGUACCCAUAGAAGAAGCCCCGGCUAACUUCGUGCCAGCAGCCGCGGUAAUACGAGGGGGGCAAGCGUUGUUCGGAUUUAUUGGGCGUAAAGGGUGCGUAGGCGGUUUGGCAAGUCUUAUGUGAAAUCUUCGGGCUCAACCCGAAGCCUGCAUAAGAAACUGCCGGGCUUGAGUAUGGGAGAGGUGAGUGGAAUUUCCGGUGUAGCGGUGAAAUGCGUAGAUAUCGGAAGGAACACCUGUGGCGAAAGCGGCUCACUGGACCAUAACUGACGCUGAUGCACGAAAGCUAGGGGAGCAAACAGGAUUAGAUACCCUGGUAGUCCUAGCCCUAAACGAUGAUUGCUUGGUGUGGCAGGUACCCAAUCCUGCCGUGCCGAAGCUAACGCGAUAAGCAAUCCGCCUGGGGAGUACGGUCGCAAGGCUG